AUUGAACGCUGGCGGCAGGCCUAACACAUGCAAGUCGAGCGAGCGGCGGACGGGUGAUUACUGUCUGGGAACCUGCCUGAUGGUGGGGGCUAACUACUGGAAACGGUAGCUAAUACCGCAUACCCUCAGAUGUGCCCAGAUGGGGUUAGCGAGUGGGUGGGGUAACGGCUCACCUAGGCGACGAUCCCUAGCUGGUCUGAGAGGAUGACCAGGCACACUGGAACUGAGACACGGGCCAGACUCCUACGGGAGGCAGCAGUGGGGAAUGUUGGACAAUGGGCGAAAGCUGGAUCCAGCCAUGCGGCGUGUCUGAAGAAGGCCUUCGGGUUGUAAAGGACUUUAGUCAGGGAAGCGGUACCUGAAGAAUAAGCACCGGCUAACUACGUGCCAGCAGCCGCGGUAAUAC
rnacentral:rRNA from 1 species